CAGACCAUUUCUGUUAGUUGAGAUUUCAUUUACGCUGAAUUUUUUGUCGUGCGAUUCGACAUGGUCUGA
rnacentral:tRNA from 1 species